rnacentral:rRNA from 1 species
UAGGGAAUCUUCCGCAAUGGGCGAAAGCCUGACGGAGCAACGCCGCGUGAGUGAUGAAGGUCUUCGGAUCGUAAAACUCUGUUAUUAGGGAAGAACAAAUGUGUAAGUAACUAUGCACGUCUUGACGGUACCUAAUCAGAAAGCCACGGCUAACUACGUGCCAGCAGCCGCGGUAAUACGUAGGUGGCAAGCGUUAUCCGGAAUUAUUGGGCGUAAAGCGCGCGUAGGCGGUUUUUUAAGUCUGAUGUGAAAGCCCACGGCUCAACCGUGGAGGGUCAUUGGAAACUGGAAAACUUGAGUGCAGAAGAGGAAAGUGGAAUUCCAUGUGUAGCGGUGAAAUGAGCAGAGAUAUGGAGGAACACCAGUGGCGAAGGCGACUUUCUGGUCUGUAACUGACGCUGAUGUGCGAAAGCGGGGGGAUCAAACAGG